UACGGGGGGUGCAAGCGUUGUUCGGAAUUACUGGGUGUAAAGGGCAGGUAGGCGGGCCAAUAAGUCGAAUGUGAAAACCCCGGGCUUAACCCGGGGCUGGCAUGCGAAACUGUUGGUCUUGAGUAUGGGAGAGGAAGAUGGAAUUCCUGGUGUAACGGUGAAAUGUGUAGAUAUCAGGAGGAACACCGGUGGCGAAGGCGGUCUUCUGGCCCACUACUGACGCUGAUCUGCGAAAGCUAGGGUAGCAAACAGG
rnacentral:rRNA from 1 species